GACGAACGCUGGCGGCGUGCUUAACACAUGCAAGUCGAACGGGAUCCGGGCUUUCGGGUUUGGUGAGAGUGGCGAACGGGUGAGUAACACGUGAGUAACCUGCCCCCUUCUUUGGGAUAACGUCGGGAAAUCGGCGCUAAUACUGGAUAUUCUUGCUGCAUCGCAUGGUGUGGUUUGGAAAGGGUUUCUGGUGGGGGAUGGGCUCGCGGCCUAUCAGCUUGUUGGUGGGGUGAUGGCCUACCAAGGCUUUGACGGGUAGCCGGCCUGAGAGGGUGUCCGGCCACACUGGGACUGAGACACGGCCCAGACUCCUACGGGAGGCAGCAGUGGGGAAUAUGACACAAUGGGCGCAAGCCUGAUGCAGCGACGCCGCGUGAGGGAUGACGGCCUUCGGGUUGUAAACCCCUUUCAGUAUGGAACAAGGAUCCUUCUUUUGGGGGGUUUGAGGGUACGUGCAGAAGAAGCGCCGGCUAACUACGUG
rnacentral:rRNA from 1 species